rnacentral:rRNA from 1 species
AGAGUUUGAUCAUGGCUCAGAACGAACGCUGGCGGCGUGGAUUAGGCAUGCAAGUCGAACGAUCCCGCAAGGGAUAGUGGCGAAAGGGUGCGUAACACGUGGGCAAUCUGCCCCCGAAACGGGAAUAACUUCGGGAAACCGAAGCUAAUACCUGAUGACACCGAGCUGCCGCAUGGUGGCACGGUGAAAGGCGUCCGCAAGGGUGCCGAUCGGGGAUGAGCCCGCGGCCUAUCAGCUAGUUGGUGAGGUAACGGCCCACCAAGGCGAUGACGGGUAGCCGGCCUGAGAGGGUGGUCGGCCACAUUGGGACUGAGACACUGCCCAGACUCCUACGGGAGGCUGCAGUCGAGGAUCUUCCGCAAUGGGGGAAACCCUGACGGAGCGACGCCGCGUGGAGGAUGAAGGCCUUCGGGUCGUAAACUCCUGUCAGUCUGGAAGAAAAUCUGCAGCAAUGUGGAUUGACCGUACAGGCAGAGGAAGCUCCGGCUAACUCCGUGCCAGCAGCCGCGGUAAUACGGAGGGAGCGAGCGUUGUUCGGAAUCAUUGGGCGUAAAGGGCAUGUAGGCGGCUCUGUAAGUCGGGUGUGAAAUCCCAUCUCUCAAGGGUGGAACGGCAUUCGAAACUGCAGGGCUUGAGUUCGGGGGAAGAGAGCGGAAUUCUCGGUGUAGCGGUGAUAUGCGUAGAUAUCGAGAAGAACACCAGCGGCGUAAGCGGCUCUCUAUCCUGAAACUGACGCUGAGGUGCGAAAGCCAGGGGAGCGAACGGGAUUAGAUACCCCGGUAGUCCUGGCCAUAAACGAUGUGCACUUGGUGUUGGGCCGCGAGGCUCAGUGCCGAAGCUAACGCAUUAAGUGCACCGCCUGGGGAGUACGACCGCAAGGUUGAAACUCAAAGGAAUUGACGG